rnacentral:rRNA from 1 species
GACGAACGCUGGCGGCGUGCCUAACACAUGCAAGUCGAACGGAAAGGCCUCUUUCGGGGAGUACUCGAGUGGGGAACGGGCGAGUAACACGUGAGUAACCUGUCCUUGUCUUUGGGGUAAAUUCCGGAAAGUGGGGCAUACACAGGCUAGAUGCAACUGUUGCAUGGUGGGGGUUGGAAUGAAUCGGCGGUUGGGGAUGGACUCGGGGCUUAUCAGCUUGUUUGUGGGGUAGUGGCUUACAAAGGCUGUGAAGGGUAGCCGGCCUGAGGGGGGGACCGGGCACAUUGGGACUGAGAGACGGCGCAGUCGCGUAUGGUAGGCAGCAGUGGAGAGUAUUGCACAAUGGGGGGAAGCCUGAGGCGGAAACGCCCUGUUCGGGAUGACGGGCUUCUGGUGGAAAACCGCGGUCGCUCUGGACGGAGCAUUGUGUGACGGUAGUGAGUAAAGAAGCACCGGCUAACUACGUG